GUAUGGUGAUAUAAAGUCAACAAAUUAAAGAGCCCUUUUUCUCUCACGCGAACCACCCAUUUUCUUCUCCCCAUGGACUUCUCCUCUCUCCACAAAAUUUCCUCAAAACAAAACUCCUUUCUCCAUUUCCUCGCCGUCGUUGGAUACAAAAUCGGAGAAGCUAGAGAGCUCAAAGACAAAGACAAAGACACCGCCUGAAAAUACUGCCGCCAUCUCAGAUCCGGUAGCGAGUGUAUUCUUAGAUCUGCAACGCUUACAUCGCCUGAAAGAGAGCUCAAGCAAUCGAUCUCAGAUCCGGUGGCCAUUUCAGAUCUAGUGCAUCGAUCUCAGACCCGGUGGCAGUGAGAUCCGGUCGCUGGCUUCAAUCCGUCUCCACCACCACAACCAUCGUCGUUUCUGGUCGUGAACCGCCUCCGUUGCGUCGUUUCUGCCGAUCUGCGCUGCCACUGCACCCCCUCUCACUCAGACGACGCCCUGCCUCCACCUAUCCACCGACCGCACAAGCCACCGCAAGCCUCCGCCGCCUCCACUGCAAGCCUCCGCCGAUCUGGAAGCAGAUUUGCAGCUUCCAGAUGAUAUAAGAGUGAAAUUUCAUUGGGAAUUUACAUAAAUAAAGUUUUUUUUGUUAUAUUUUAGUUUGUAAUGUAAUAAUCUUAUUUAGUUUGACAAUACUGCUAUUUUGUUUACUUGAUUUGAUGAAUAAUACAACUUAUCUGUUUGUUUUUCUUA